rnacentral:rRNA from 1 species
AAAUGAAUUGACGGGGGCCCGCACAAGCGGCGGAGCAUGCGGAUUAAUUCGAUGCAACGCGAAGAACCUUACCAAGCUUUGACAUGUACGGGAAGCCACCAGAGAUGGUGGUCUCUUUGGACACUCGUGCACAGGUGGUGCAUGGUUGUCGUCAGCUCGUGUCGUGAGAUGUUGGGUUAAGUCCCGCAACGAGCGCAACCCUCGUCCCAUGUUGCCAGCACGUGAUGGUGGGGACUCAUGGGAGACUGCCGGGGUCAACUCGGAGGAAGGUGGGGAUGACGUCAAAUCAUCAUGCCCCUUAUGGCUUGGGCUUCACGCAUGCUACAAUGGCCGGUACAAAGGGCUGCGAUACCGCGAGGUGGAGCGAAUCCCAUAAAGCCGGUCUCAGUUCGGAUUGGGGUCUGCAACUCGACCCCAUGAAGUCGGAGUCGCUAGUAAUCGCAGAUCAGCAAUGCUGCGGUGAAUACGUUCUCGGGCCUUGUACACACCGCCCGU